AUGGAGCUUCGGCAUGUGGUGCAUACUCCGGUGGCAAAUCAAACUUCAAUAAUGGCCAAGAGUGAGAGAAUGGAAGAACAGUACAAUGAGCUAAAAAGUUUGAUCAUAGCUUCUAGGGGGUCUGUUGAAAUGGGAGGAAUUCCAGAAAAGGGGCUUCUAAAUAAAGAUCCUUCUAAGGACUUGGAAACCAUGAAUGACGAAGAACAAGCAACUUCACUUUCAUAUACUACCAAGGCAUCCGAGGCAAUGGUUGCUCCAAGGCAUCCAGAUAAGGUGAAGGCAUCCCAACUGGAAUCAAAGUAA
rnacentral:rRNA from 1 species